AUGUGUGCAUCUUUGAAUAACUCUGUAAAACUUCCUAAAGUGAUCGUCCUGCCGACGUCCAGUGAAGAGAUUUCCAGCAAGAUGACAGCAACACUGAUGUGUGUGGCCAGCAAUGGUUUCCCUUCAGACUGGAGUCUGAGCUGGAAAGUGAAUGGGAAGAUGUCAGGAUCUCAGGAGAACAGAGCUGGAGUCCUACAGAAAAACGGUGGUCUGUACAGCUGGAGCAGCAGUCUGACUCUAACUGAACAAGAAUGGAUCAACAGAGACUCAGUGAUCUGUGAGAUCAGUCGGGAAGGUCAGACAGUCACUGGAGAAGUGAAGAAAGAUCUGUGUUCUGAGUAGAUCCUCUCUUCUUCUCAUCUCUUCUUCUCAUUCAUGUCUCACAUCAACAGUGGACAACUAUUCAUACAACAGUCUGUUUGUCUCUGCUUUAUUCAUUCUGUCUGCUUUUCAUCAACUUCAAUAAAAGAAAAGUAACAUUA